rnacentral:tRNA from 1 species
GGUCCGUUGGUCAAGCGGUUAAGACGCCGCCCUCUCACGGCGGAAACAGGGGUUCGAUUCCCCUACGGACUA